UCCGAUGCUAUUUCUAGAGAUAGAAAGUUACUUCGGUACAUCGGUGACAGGUGGUGCAUGGUUGUCGUCAGCUCGUGUCGUGAGAUGUUGGGUUAAGUCCCGCAACGAGCGCAACCCCUAUUGUUAGUUGCCAUCAUUCAGUUGGGCACUCUAGCGAGACUGCCGGUAAUAACCGGAGGAAGGUGGGGAUGACGUCAAAUCAUCAUGCCCCUUAUGACCUGGGCUACACACGUGCUACAAUGGUUGGUACAACGAGUUGCGAGUCGGUGACGGCGAGCUAAUCUCUUAAAGCCAAUCUCAGUUCGGAUUGUAGGCUGCAACUCGCCUACAUGAAGUCGGAAUCGCUAGUAAUCGCGGAUCAGCACGCCGCGGUGAAUACGUUCCCGGGUCUU
rnacentral:rRNA from 1 species